rnacentral:rRNA from 1 species
UACGUAGGGUGCAGGCGUUAAUCGGAAUUACUGGGCGUAAAGCGUGCGCAGGCGGUUUCUUAAGUCAGAUGUGAAAUCCCCGGGCUUAACCUGGGAACUGCGUUUGAAACUACAAGGCUAGAGUGUAGCAGAGGGGGGUGGAAUUCCACGUGUAGCAGUGAAAUGCGUAGAGAUGUGGAGGAACACCGAUGGCGAAGGCAGCCCCCUGGGUUAACACUGACGCUCAGGCACGAAAGCGUGGGGAGCAAACAGG